rnacentral:rRNA from 1 species
CCCUUAGAUGUUCUGGGCUGCACACGUGCUACACUGGCAGGUUCAGCGAGCUUCAUGCCCUGAUCUGAAAGGAAUGGGAAAUCUUUUCAAAACCUGCCGUGCUUGGGAUAGAUGUUUGCAAUUAUUCAUCUUCAACGAGGAUUGCCUUGUAAGCGCACGUCAUCAGCGUGCAUUGAAUACGACCCUGUAUUUUGUACACACCGCCCGUCGCUCCUACCGAUUGAAGUUUUCGGUGAGUUGACAGGAGGAUUUUUUUGAAACUGGUUCGCCAGUGGAUUUUAGAUCCAAAUGCCAACGAAUCGAUGGCUUUAGAGGAAGGAGAAGUCGUAACA